UCGCUACUACCGAUUGAAUGGCUCGGUGAGGCCUUCGGACUGGCCCAGGGAGGUCGGCAACGACCACCCAGGGCCGGAAAGUUGGUCAAACCCGGUCAUUUAGAGGAAGUAAAAGUCGUAACAAGGUCUCCGUAGGUGAACCUGCGGAGGGAUCAUU
rnacentral:rRNA from 1 species